UGAAAUUCACAAGUGACGAUUGCGUUAAAAAAAAUUUUCUUAUGUACUGUUUCAUUGAACGAUAGUUACACGUGUACGAACUAAAUGCCAUUUGGGUCCUUUUUCAGAUUAGCAAAAGUGAAGAAAUUCGUGGAUUCACAGACGAGGAGGAUCAGCCGAUGUGGGAAUUUUUCAUAAAAAUUGUUGACCAUGUUUUCACACGAACAUCUAAAAUGUCAAUAAAUGUAGGCUGAAAAUUUGAAAGUAACUGAUUGCACAAUUUCAUUUUUUUUUCCUUAUAAAUUACAAAAAAACUCUUAUUUUGGCGGAUAGAAAUUAGACACCCCACUUAAGUAUGGCGAUGUUCAGCAUUUUCAUCGAAACCGUUUGAAUUGUUUAAUCUUUAAUCCCUAAAUAUAUUCUGUUUUUCAUCUACCCGCCUCAACAUUCAUACCUAAACAUAACCAUUGCAAAUUUUUUUCGAGUAAAUUUCAGCUCGCUUCAAACAAAUAAGAAUCAAGGCCGGUCUGGCUAAUUUCAAAGUAUUAUACUUCAUUUCAAAGCGAGUACCAAGAAAUGUUGGUUAUGUUGGGUCAAAGCUUUUCGAGAAGUCGCAGAGCACCUUUGUGAGUGCGAGGCUGAAAGUAGUCCGCUCGACCAAUCGUGGAGCGCGUGAUGAAAAGGUAAUUUGCUGAUGGACCGGCUAGUUAGGCGUAGUAAUACAUUAUUGCGCUGACGCGAGUCGUGCGCAGCGAUACGAUUCGAAUCCGCAAUUCUGUUCAUUCUUCGUCCAUAAAGUCUCGGGUUGAGUCGAUCUGAGACUCCGGAGUUUGUCUGUGUUGCGAGCCUCAUAAUCCGUGUUUGAAAAUAUUUGCCUGCUCAGUGACAGACGGAAAAGUGACUUUACUCCGAAAUCAAUCUUAAACAAUAACUCUCGACUUCAUUCUUUUACGCGUUGCUGUACCAAAGCGUUAGUUUGUUACCGAUCACGGCUAUCAAACUCACAAUCAGUGUAUCGUGUGUUAAUGCAAUUAACGGUCCUCGCUAACUCGAGUAAAUUCAGUGAUCGACUUUUUCGGACAGCUGUGUUACGGACGUUUCAAACAAUUUGUGCCGACUAUGCGGUGAACUGGCAAAAGGAGUGAAGUAGUAUUUCGGUGUUGGGUUCGGACGUGUGCCGAGAGUCAGCAUCAACGUUUCGGAGCCUUGUGUUUAUUUGAGGGACUCGGGCCCCCCUUACGAGACGGUACAGCCAAGGAAAGUCGUUGUCGGUGAUGUAUGGAGUGGUAUUGUACGUAAUAAAUUCCGGUUCAGGUAUCUCUUCGAUGACCGGGACCGGGACCACCUUUCGUCCGAUGUCGACCUGUUCCAAGAGAAGGUCUUCCGAUACGUCCGGAGCUCGUUGGUGGUGAACGAUUCCUCUCGGUCGGCCGGCUCGAGUAACGGUGAAAAGAAUCGCACGGUCAGAGCGUAAAGAUUCCCGCGUUCGUUCCUGAAACCGGGAAGUCUGGCUUCUAUUUCGGCCUUACUGUUUUCUCGGACGUGUCUACCGGCUCUAUCACGAGGCUCGAUGCGCGUUGAGGAGGGUUUUGGCAUCUACGGGUAAAGGAGAGAUGGAUUUAAUCAAGGCAAUGCUAGUUUUGCAAGGGGAAACAGGAGGCAGGAAUAUAUCAAGAUGGCCGCCGUGGUGUUUGUUUCUCCGCAUGGGUGGUUCACGAACUGGGCUGCCUGCUGGCUCCGAUCAACCGUGUGUGCGCGGUUGCUUGACUCAAAAAGUGUAGGCGGAUGACGUGUGUGUGCGAUUGCCUGACUGGAGGAUUGUAGGCGCGCAAUCUCUGAUGCGUUUCUGCACCUUUUAGGCGUAUACAAAAUCUAUUCCGUGUGACGGACAUCCGGAAGAUGCCACAUUUGAAUGGUACGUUCGAGGCGGGGUUGAAGUUAUGAAUUUGAAAAGUUCCGAAAGUGCGUAAUUACGAAUUAUUUGGUGGCGAAACGAAACUCGAGGUGAAGAAAUCAACCUUAUACGAAACAACAAAGUUGGAAAUUGUUGCAAGCCCGACCGCUCAGAAUUCCAAGAUGCAAGGUUCUCAAAAUUAAAGAUACGAUAAAGUAAUGUUCCGAAAAGUAAAGUUCCGAUAGAGCAAAACAUCCGAAAAAUGCAGUUUUGAUUGAGUAAAAUUCGGGAAAUUAAAAUAAAACCGCA